GUGUGAAUUGGCAACAGAUCCAACAGUGUCUUCUUCAAUAAGUGUUGAGCAUGAAGUUUACUACGAUGAUCCAUGUGGCUCUACGUGUGGAACAUGCGAAGUCAACUCCUUUGAAUGCCAGCAUCAACCAACAAAUGUGUAUGUAAAGGGGGUACAAUUCCAGAUCCAGAUGAUUCAGCAAAAUGCCUAAGUUAUGUCGAUGUGAUGAUUGGGUGAUCUAAAAAAAGGGCGUAGCAUACCUGCGAUUGAUGUUUUUUCAUCCGGUCAAUAAAAC